rnacentral:rRNA from 1 species
AUACGUAGGGGGAACGCUUUUCCGGAUUUAUGGGGGAAAAGCAUCCCAGGCGGGUUUUUAAAUUUGAUGGGAAAGCCCCCGGUUCACCGGGGAGGGUCAUGGGAAAUGGGGGACUGGGGUGCAGAAGAGGGGAGUGGAAUUCUAUGUGUAGCGGGGAAAUGGGUAGAUUUAUGGAGGAACACCAGUGGCGAGGGGGGUUUUCUGUUCUGUACCUGACGCGGAGGCUCGAAAGCGUGGGAGCCAAACAGGAUUAGAUACCUUGUUAGUCCACGCCGUAAACGAGGAGUGUUAAGUGUUGGAGGGUUUCCGCCCUUCAGUGCUGCAGCUAAGGCAUUAACCAUUCCGCCUGGGGAGUACGACCCCAAGGUUGAAAUUCAAAGGAAUGGACGGGGGCCCGCACAAGCGGUGGAGCAUGUGGUUUAAUUGGAAGCAACGGGAAGAACCUUACCAGGUCUUGACAUCCUUUGACCACUCUAGAGAUAGAGCUUCCCCUUCGGGGGCAAAGUGACAGGUGGUGCAUGGUUGUCGUCAGCUCGUGUCGUGAGAUGUUGGGUUAAGUCCCGCAACGAGCGCAACCCUUAUUGUUAGUUGCCAUCAUUCAGUUGGCCAUUCUACCAAGACUGCCGGUGCCAAACCGGAGGAAGGUGGGGAGGACGUCAAAUCAUCAUGCCCCUUAUGACCUGGGUUCCCCACGUGUUCCAAUGGGAAGUACAACGAGUUGGGAAGUCGGGAGGUUAAGUUAAUUUCUUAAAGCUUUUUUCAGUUCGGAUUCCAGGCUGCAAUUCGCCUCCAGGAAGCCGGAAUCGUUAGUAAUCGCGGAUCACCACGCCGCGGUGAAUACUUUCCCGGCCUUUGCCCCACCCCCCGUUACACCACGGGAGUUUUUUUUGUGGAGCCCCUGGCCCAAACAUUUGGACC